AUUGAACGCUGGCGGCAGGCCUAACACAUGCAAGUCGAACGGUAACAGGAAGCAGCUUGCUGCUUUGCUGACGAGUGGCGGACGGGUGAGUAAUGUCUGGGAAACUGCCUGAUGGAGGGGGAUAACUACUGGAAACGGUAGCUAAUACCGCAUAACGUCGCAAGACCAAAGAGGGGGACCUUAGGGCCUCUUGCCAUCGGAUGUGCCCAGAUGGGAUUAGCUAGUAGGUGGGGUAACGGCUCACCUAGGCGACGAUCCCUAGCUGGUCUGAGAGGAUGACCAGCCACACUGGAACUGAGACACGGUCCAGACUCCUACGGGAGGCAGCAGUGGGGAAUAUUGCACAAUGGGCGCAAGCCUGAUGCAGCCAUGCCGCGUGUAUGAAGAAGGCCUUCGGGUUGUAAAGUACUUUCAGCGGGGAGGAAGGGAGUAAGUUAAUACCUUUGCUCAUUGACGUUACCCGCAGAAGAAGCACCGGCUAACUCCGUG
rnacentral:rRNA from 1 species